rnacentral:tRNA from 1 species
CGGGGAGUAGCGCAGCCCGGUAGCGCACCUCGUUCGGGCCGAGGGGGUCGCCCGUUCAAAUCAAGUCUCCCCGACCA